rnacentral:rRNA from 1 species
AUUGAACGCUGGCGGCAGGCCUAACACAUGCAAGUCGAGCGGCAGCGGGAAAGUAGCUUGCUACUUUUGCCGGCGAGCGGCGGACGGGUGAGUAAUGCCUGGGAAAUUGCCCAGUCGAGGGGGAUAACAGUUGGAAACGACUGCUAAUACCGCAUACGCCCUACGGGGGAAAGCAGGGGACCUUCGGGCCUUGCGCGAUUGGAUAUGCCCAGGUGGGAUUAGCUAGUUGGUGAGGUAAUGGCUCACCAAGGCGACGAUCCCUAGCUGGUCUGAGGGGAUGGUCAGCCACCCUGGAACUGAGACACGGUCCCGCAUCCUACGGGAGGCCGCAGUGGGGAAUAUUGCACAAUGGGGGAAACCCUGAUGCAGACAUGCGGCGUGUGUGAAGAAGGCCUUCGGGUUGUAAAGCACUUUCAGCGAGGAGGAAAGGUUGAUGCCUAAUACGUAUCAACUGUGACGUUACUCGCAGAAGAAGCACCGGCUAACUCCGUGCCAGCCGCCGCCGUAAAAC